rnacentral:misc_RNA from 1 species
GUGAAUCAUCAAAUUUUUGAACGCAUAUUGCACUCUCUGGUAUUACGGAGAGUAUGCCUGUUUGAGGGUAAUUAUAAAGAAUAUUUACAAAUUUUUUUUGGUCAAUGUAAAUGAGUUCUCUGCGUUUAUAGCGGUAGCUUGAAAUAAAUGGUGAAGACUGAUUUUAGUCGGGAGGCGUAAUAAUAUUAUUUCGCGAAAUGUUCAUUAUGUGACUAUCAAGUUUUGAGGGAUAUAAAUUUGGUUUGUAUGCGAUUAAUAUGAGU